GAGAGAAAUUCACAGGUGAGCAAGGGACCCUUAUGAAGCGGUGACCUCAGAAAAGGCACCCGGCCAGAGAGUCCCCCAGAACUGUGAGCACCUAAAUUCUAAGAGGUCUUGAAGGAUCCUUGAGGAAAUUCAGGGCUGAUUAUCAGAACAGGGAAAAGGAAACUUCAGGGUAUCCCAAGAGCAAAGACUGAUCUGAAAUCAGGAAGGACUCUUGGGGAACACUGGGAGGAGGAAGAGUCUUUGAGAAGACUGGCAGCCAGGUUGACGUGAAUCCCAACGGCCAUUCACCAGGUGCUCACCGUGUGCCAGGCCCACCGCUCAACACACACUGGGAAAAACUAUUUUCUUUCAAUAUGGGGCUUGUUGGUUAGAAUGAAAACUUUCCUCCCCACCUACUGGGACCACCAAGGAAAAGAAGGCAAUUAGCUGUCUGUGCCAGUGAGUGCUCCAAAGGCAGAUGUGUCAGGAGCCAGAAAGAAAAAUCUAAUUGAGCCCCACCUUUUUUGUUGUUUGGAUUUUUUGUAAAUUUCCAUAGCCCAUUUUAGAGUCUACUGCACAUUCGCUCAUCCACCCACAGAGUGAGAAGCUUCACAAUUGUGUCCUGAAUUUUGGUCGAGCCAAUGAUACGUGAAAAUAUUUCUUUUCAUCUUUCUCUUAGUGUGUACACUAGACUUUUCCAAAUCCAACCUAAUCCAAUUCACCACAUUUUACUGAUCAUGACCCUCAGUCCCAGAGAGAAGUGUGGUCUAUCCAGGAUUCUACAGCCAUCAAAUGGCAGGGCCUCUACCUGUUUGUGUCCAUCACUUUCUACCAUAACAGUUUGAAGUAUUUGAAGCCUAUUUCAAAACAGCCUGACUCUUCGUUCCACAUUUCCUAUAUGUAGAAGUUGGGUUAUAAGCAAAAAGCAACACUCUUGAUACUGUUGCCUUCCCCCUCCCCCUGCCCCCAUUUUCUCAAGUGUACUAAAGCUGCUCAUUUUAAAGCAUGGGCUGAAGAUUAUUCCAAAUAAUUUUUAAUUAAAGAUCAUCAUGUAAAGUGUA